rnacentral:misc_RNA from 1 species
GAUGAAGAACGUAGCGAAAUGCGAUAAGUAGUGUGAAUUGCAGAAUUCAGUGAAUCAUCGAAUCUUUGAACGCACAUUGCGCCCUUUGGUAUUCCUUAGGGCAUGCCUGUUCGAGCGUCAUUUAAACCUUCAAGCUAAGCUUGGUGUUGGGUGACUGUCCGCUUCACGGCGGACUCGCCUCAAAAUUAUUGGCGGCCGGUACAUUGGCUUCGAGCGCAGCAGAAACGCGAAAUCGGGCCCGUCGUAUUGGCUCCCAGAAGCUAUCUUCACAAUUUUGACCUCGGAUCAGGUAGGGAUACCCGCUGAACUUAAGCAUAUCAAUAAGCGGAGGA